GCAGGUGCUCGGUGUGCCCGGCCGCCCAAGACUCCGCCUUCCUCACGCUAGUGCGUCUGGAGAGGAGGAGGGGGCGGCACGCACAGCCGUGCCCUGCCGUCGGCGACGACGGCGCGGCCGUGCCCUCCGACGCCGCUCUUCUGCGCGCGUGAGGACACCAACUCCGCUCUCGACGACGACCGCACCAUGGAAUGGAGCCCUUCAAGGAAGACUUUGGGUUGCUUGUAACCCGCCAUGUCACAGAUAGGGUGCCUGUUAGAAAUCUUCUAUGGGGGUAACCAACAAGCGACAAAUAUUCAGUCUUGAGGGCGCAAGUACUGAAGCUAUGAUCCAGCUGUUGAGAAUAACUGAUAAUCAUGGUGUCUUAUGUGUAACUAUUUUCUUCAGAAAUCACCAAGUACUUGUGAGUGCUUACCUUUUACAUACUAUGUUGUUCUUGGAUCAUGAAUGACUCUGUUCUAUUGUC